GACGAACGCUGGCGGCGUGCUUAACACAUGCAAGUCGAACGGAAAGGCCCUGCUCUUGUGGGGUGCUCGAGUGGCGAACGGGUGAGUAACACGCGAGUAACCUGCCCUUGACUUUGGGAUAACUCCAGGAAACUGGGGCUAAUACCGGAUAGGAGCUCCUGCUGCAUGGUGGGGGUUGGAAAGUUUCGGCGGUUGGGGAUGGACUCGCGGCUUAUCCGCUUGUUGGUGGGGUAGUGGCUUACCAAGGUUUUGACGGGUAGCCGGCCUGAGAGGGUGACCGGCCACAUUGGGACUGAGAUACGGCCCAGACGCCAACGGGAGGCAGCAGUGGGGAGUAUUGCACAAUGGGCGGAAGCCUGAUGCAGCGACGCCGCGUGCGGGAUGACGGCCUUCGGGUUGUAAACCGCUUUCGCCUGUGACGAAGCGUGAGUGACGGUAAUGGGUAAAGAAGCACCGGCUAACUACGUG
rnacentral:rRNA from 1 species